ensembl:snRNA U2 U2 spliceosomal RNA
AUUGCUUCUCGGCCUUUUGGCUAAGAUCAAGUGUAGUAUCUGUUCUUAUCAGAAAGUAUGUAAAAAAUAUUGUAAACUGCAUGCUUGUAUCAGACACCUAGUCAACUGCUUGUAAUAAGAGCAGGUCAUUUAGGUGAAUAUUGCGAGUUUUUUCCUGGUCACUAA